CCUACGGGUGGCAGCAGUGAGGAAUAUUGGUCAAUGGGCGGGAGCCUGAACCAGCCAAGCCGCGUGAGGGAAGAAUGUACAGCGUAUCGUAAACCUCUUUUGUCAGGGAACAAAGGCGGGGACUAGUCCCCGGCUGAGGGUCCCUGAAGAAAACACAUCGGCUAAAUCCGUCCCAACAGCCGCGGUAAUACGGAGGAGGCGAGCGUUAUCCGGAUUUAUUGGGUUUAAAGGGUGCGUAGGCGGACUGAUAAGUCAGCGGUAAACGCGCGGGGCCAAACCCCGGCGAGCCGUUGAAACUGGCGGUAUUGAGUUGGAGAGAAGUAUGCGGAAUGCGCGGUGUAGCGGUGAAAUGCUUAGAUAUCGCGCAGAACCCCGAUUGCGAAGGCAGCAUACCGGCGCCAAACUGACGCUGAGGCACGAAAGCGUGGGUAUCGAACAGGAUUAGAUACCCGUGUAGUC
rnacentral:rRNA from 1 species